rnacentral:rRNA from 1 species
AUUGAACGCUGGCGGCAUGCUUUACACAUGCAAGUCGAACGGUAACAUUCCGCUAGUUGUUGCCGAGUGGCGCAUGGGUGGUUAAUGCAUCGGCACGUGCUCAGUCUUAGAGGUUAACUACUCUGCUAAUUAGCUAAUACCUCACACGAUCUAUGAUUUAUAGCCUGGGACUGUAAGGCCUCUCGCUAUUGGAGCUGCUGAUGUCAGAUUAGGUAGUUGGUGGGGUAAAGGGCUACUAAGACAACGUGCUGUAGCUGGUCUGAGAGGACGACCAGCCACACUGGGACUGAGAGACGGCCAAGAAUCCUACGGGAGGCAGCAGUGGGGAAUUUUGGACAAAGGGAGCAAGCGUGAUCAAGCAAUGCCGCGUGCAGGAAGAAGGCAUUAGGGUUGUAAAAUGGUUUUGUACGGAACGAAACGGAUCUGGUUAAUACCCGGAGCUAAUGACGGUACCGGAAGAAUAAGCACCGGCUAAAUACGUG